AAGAAGAUAAAGACAUUAUUUAAUUAUCCUCUUCGGGAUAUGAAAGUACCACGUGGAAGAUGGAGGCCAACUAUUUCUUCUUCAGGAGAGUCAAAAGAACCACAUUGAAGAAGAGGUUCACAAUAGAUGCUAAAAAAUCUAAGGGUGCUCAUGGCCCGAAUACGUUUCCAGGCAGAGUUUGUGAGCUGAGUUCGCAAAGGUGCGGAUGAAGACCGUUCGCUGGGCUUCACUAGUACAAAGACAGGCUGACAGUGCAAAGACGAAGAGGAAUGGUCCCAGCCAUCAGGAAACUCAGCAGCUUGGAAGAUACUAAACAGCCACUCCUCCAGGAUGUUAUGGCUCAUGUCCCAAGUUGUUGGGAAGGAACCUCUGGUUGCAGCAGGACUGACUGUACAAUUUGUGAGCCCAGUGUGAAAUGAAAAUGCAGGGCCCCUUGAUCAAAAAUUAUAAAAAAAUCUCAAGACAGCGCCAGCAGAGCAUUAAAACAAGCCCCAAGUCCCAGGCACCACACAGCCUCGCUCUUCUGCAGUUCAGCUCUUCCUUUUACGUUCCUCUUCUGGCUACCUCAUUUAUCCUUCCGUAAACCUUCACUGAUGAGAGAUGUGGUAACCCAAGCAAGUCUAUCGUUCUUGCAACUAAAAUGAACCAGCACACUUAGGACACGACAGGGUUCCUGCUGUCAUUUCUUCCUCUUACCUUGUACAGUCUAAAAAUUGCAGGGAUGUAUUAAAAUGCUUUCUACUCCAUGUUAUUUUAGGUAAUAUUUAAUUAGGUUUUUAUGCUUUAAUACGAUGUCUGAUGUUCUGGAUCGUAUCCUCUAAUUUUUUCUACUAUAAUAAAGUUCCUGACACUA